rnacentral:rRNA from 1 species
CCUACGGGAGGCAGCAGUGGGGAAUAUUGGGCAAUGGGCGCAAGCCUGACCCAGCAACGCCGCGUGAAGGAAGAAGGCUUUCGGGUUGUAAACUUCUUUUGUCAGGGACGAAGCAAGUGACGGUACCUGACGAAUAAGCCACGGCUAAAUACGUGCCAGCAGCCGCCGUAAUACGUAGGUGGCAGGAGUUAUCCGGAUUUAUUGGGUGUAAAGGGCGUGUAUGCGGGAAUGCAAGUCAGCUGUGAAAACUAUGGGCUCAACCCAUAGCCUGCAUUUGAAACUGUAUUUCUUGAGUGCUGGAGAGGCAAUCGGAAUGCCGUGUGUAGCGGUGAAAUGCGUAGAUAUACGGAGGAACACCAGUGGCGAAGGCGGAUUGCUGGACAGUAACUGACGCUGAGGCGCGAAAGCGUGGGGAGCAAACAGGAUUAGAUACCCGGGUAGUC